GAUGAACGCUGGCGGCGUGCUUAACACAUGCAAGUCGAGCGAUGAAGUUUCCUUCGGGAAACGGAUUGGCGGCGGACGGGUGAGUAACACGUGGGUAACCUGCCUCAUAGAGUGGAAUAGCCUUCCGAAAGGAAGAUUAAUACCGCAUAACGUUGAAAGAUGGCAUCAUCAUUCAACCAAAGGAGCAAUCCGCUAUGAGAUGGACCCGCGGCGCAUUAGCUAGUUGGUGGGGUAACGGCCUACCAAGGCGACGAUGCGUAGCCGACCUGAGAGGGUGAUCGGCCACAUUGGGACUGAGACACGGCCCAGACUCCUACGGGAGGCAGCAGUGGGGAAUAUUGCACAAUGGGGGAAACCCUGAUGCAGCAACGCCGCGUGAGUGAUGAAGGUUUUCGGAUCGUAAAGCUCUGUCUUUGGGGAAGAUAAUGACGGUACUCAAGGAGGAAGCCACGGCUAACUACGUGCCAGCCGCCGCCGUAA
rnacentral:rRNA from 1 species